rnacentral:rRNA from 1 species
AGGGUGACAGGUGGUGCAUGGUUGUCGUUCAGCUCGUGUCGUGAGAUGUUGGGUUAAGUCCCGCAACGAGCGCAACCCUCGACCUUAGUUGCCAGCAUUCAGUUGGGCACUCUAAGGUGACUGCGGCUAAAAGUCGGAGGAAGGUGGGGAUGACGUCAAAUCAUCAUGCCCCUUAUGACCUGGGCUACACACGUGCUACAAUGGGCGGUACAAAGGGUCGCGAACCCGCGAGGGGGAGCCAAUCCCAAAAAGCCGCUCUCAGUUCGGAUUGCAGGCUGCAACUCGCCUGCAUGAAGCCGGAAUCGCUAGUAAUCGCGGAUCAGCAUGCCGCGGUCGAAUACGUUCCCGGGCCUU